UUUUAACUUUACUUUUAGUUUUAGUUUUGUGCCCUCCUCCCCCUUAUUCCCAAUUCCAAAACCAAAAUCCCUAAGCUCACCACCUCCACCGAUCCAGCAGUGCUGUCUGUCGGCGCCACUCACCUCCUUCAUCUCCACCUCCCACCUGCUUCCUCUGUCGUCGGCACCUACCUAACUUCCUCGACCGACUCAUAUCAAAAUCGAGAACUCUAGAGUUUGAACCAAAAAUUGAGAAAUUGGCCCAACAACAAUGAAAAGAAGCCAUUCGACGCGAUAAACGACCAAAUCCCGGAUUCGAAACCAUAUCUUACAACAAGGAAAGUUUCUCGUUCGACGAACUAGACGAGAUGUUGAACAAACUAUAUGCCAACUCGUAGCAGCAUCAGAUGAACAACAACCCUUAUGUAUAACCUAUUCUGUGGGAGGAACGUCAUUUGAGUUGAAGUCAGGUUCUUCGCUAUAGCUUGAGCGGCUGAACUAAGUAGAGACAUUGUAGGAAUCUGUCAGAACGAGACUGAAUCACUCUAUGAUUAUUGGAAGCGGUACAAAAAUUUGUGUGCAAGUUCCCCACAAUAUAGACUGACUGAAUAAUCACUCUUGUAGUAUUUCUAUGAAGGGUUGCUCCUGAUGGAAAUGAAAAUGAUAGAUGCUACAAGUGGAAGGGCAUUAGUUAAUAUGACUCCUUAGAGAGCAUGAAAGUUGAUUUCGACAAUAACCGCUAACUCUCAACAAUUCUAACCGGCCACAGAACCCACGAGACGGGUUUAUGGGCUAAGUUCUCUAUUUGUAAAAGAUAAAAUUGAUAAGCUGACUAACGUUGUUCAAGAUUUUCUUAUAGAUAAAACUAGCCCAGCAAGGUUGUGCAGAAUCUACGCUAAGCCAAACCACCCGACGGGCUCAUGUCUAAUUUUAUAUGAGGAUUCGAUAGAACAAGCAAAUAUUGUCGGGAACUUUCCAGGACCGCCCCAAAGGUGAUAUGACCCCUACUAGAACUCAUAUAAUGUGGGGUGGAAGGAUUACCUAAAUCUAAGUUAUGAGUCGAAUCAUCAGUUUAAUUAACCUUACGAACAAAGGCCGCAUCUGAAUCAACAAUUACUGCCCUAAAGUCAUCUUUGGAAGCCAUAGUGGAAAGGCUAGCUAAUAGUGCUGAGAAGUUUCAGCAAAAAAUUGAAAUACAUUUGCAGGAGUUAUAUAAGCAAGUGAGCAAGCUUGCGCUCAUGGUUAGCCGUUUGGAGUCUCAAAGUAAGCUGUCGUCCCCAACUCAGCCUAAUUUCGACACAAUGUAAGUGCUAUGACAUUGAGGAGUGGAAAAGUUUUGGAACCCAUACCUGGCACGAGUUGUACCCACGACGCUGGCUGAGAUGAGAAGAAACUUGAUACAAAGGCUCUAGUGGAGUCAGCACCACAAAAAUUAUUUACAGUACCACCUCCAUUUCCUGGAAGACUUGUCCAAUGCAAGGAGUGAGAAGAGAAAGAGAUCUUUGACACCUUUCGAAAGGUAGAAAUCAACAUACCUCUUCUUGACGCGAUUAAGCAGAUUCCACGAUAUGCAAGAUUCUUAAAAGAAUUAUGCACAAGUAAGAGGAAGCUCUUGGGCAAUGAAAAGGUGAGUGUAGAAGAAAAUGUCUUUGUCGUUUUACAAAGGAAAAUACCACCUAAAUGUAAGGAUCAAUGUAUGUUUUCUAUGUCUUGCAAAAUAGGUAGUGACAAUAUUAGAAAAGCCUUGUGUGACUUAGACGCAUCAAUUAAUGUUAUGCCUUUGUCAAUUUAUAAACUACUUAAUGCGGGUCCUUUGAAGGAAAUAGAUGUAAUUAUUCAACUUGCAAAUAGAUCUGUAGUGCAUCCGAAAGGAGUGCUGGAGAACGUUCUUAUUAAAGUAAACGAAUUGAUAUUUCCUGCAGACUUCUACAUUAUCAACAUAGAGGAUGACAACUCGGCCAAUUGGUCUGACAUACUUCUUGGAAAACCAUUCUUAAGUACCACGCGAACGAAAAUUGAUGUUUAGAGUGGAACACUCAUCAUGGACAGAUAAGUGGUUAGCUUUAAUGUUUAUAAGGAUAUAGGACAUCCCAGUGAUAAGUUACAAAUCGUGCCUUGUAGGAAUGGAGAUCUCAAUGUUAAGCAAGAGGAAUUAUCGAUAAUCAAAAAAUCAAUACAUGAAGCUGUCAUGAAAGCCUCAAAAUUAGAGCUCAAACCGUUUUCAAAACAUACAAGGAUUGUGACAGAGGAAAAUACAAACUUGAAUAGAGAAGCUUAAAGAUGCCUUAAUCCACUAAUGAUAGGGGAAUCCUAGAAGUGCUUCAAGGACAGUGGGCAAAGGUCAAAACCUUUCUGCAAGAACAUCCAAGUGCACGGGAUGGAAAAACUAAUUCUCAAUGAGCCGAACAGAUAACAUUUAAGGUCGUCGAGCUAACAAUAUUAAACAAAAGCGCUUUUUAGGAGGCAACCCAAUUUAUUUUUAAUAUAUUAAAAUUUUUGAAUUCCAGUUUAAUUUGGAUUGAACAUAAAAUGAAUAAUAACUAGAUUAUUAUUUAA